CAAUAGCGUAUAUUAAAGUUGUUGCAGUUAAAAAGCUCGUAGUUGGAUUUCUGGUGGGAGCGAUCGGUCUGGCGCUUAGCGCGAGUACUUGCAUCGUCUCCGGCCAUCCUUGGGGAAAGUCUGUCUGGCAUUAAGUUGUCGGGCAGAGGAUCCUCAUCGUUUACUGUGAAAAAAUUAGAGUGUUCAAAGCAGGCUUAUGCCGUUGAAUAUAUUAGCAUGGAAUAAUAAGAUAGGACUUUGGUACUAUUUUGUUGGUUUGCGCACCAAAGUAAUGAUUAAUAGGGACAGUUGGGGGUAUUCGUAUUCCGUUGUCAGAGGUGAAAUUCUUGGAUUUACGGAAGACGGACUACUGCGAAAGCAUUUACCAAGGAUGUUUUCAUUAA
rnacentral:rRNA from 1 species